rnacentral:rRNA from 1 species
AUGAAGACGGCGCCCAUAUUGGACUCAUACUCCGGGUCAAGCUACGAGACCACACAUGAGACCUUAUCCUCGGUCUUAGAGGAGAGUGAUAAUGUGCCAUCUUCGGCCUUCAUCCAUGGCUACGACCACAACAUGAUUGAGCAAGGAGACAUUUGCACCUACAUCUCUCCGACACCCACAUAUGCCGAGAUGCCCCAAUUGCCAUGUGAGGAGAGCCACCACCACAUGAGUGACAUGAGUGACUCCACCGCACGUGACAUUGAGAGCAUUUCCUAUGAGAGGAUGAGUGUGACCACCACUAGCCCCACACUUGAGAGCAUGCCACACAUCCUAUGUGAGGUUGAGAGCCAUUUGAGUGACUCCACCAACCAUAUGAGUGAGAGCAUCCGAGAGGUAGUGAGUGAGCCACAACACUUAGUGAGUGAGGUAGUUGACACGGCAUGUGAGGCCACUAUGAUUUCUAACGACCUAACCUCUACUCCGAGUGUGUUUUCUUCUUUGGUGCUAGGUCUCCUACAUGACGACACGCCUAUCCUCGACGAGUCCAUCCCUCCAAUGGAGACGACGAUGGCCAUGGUGGAAGAAGAUGCACCCCCACAUGGUUCCAUCAAGAUUAAGAUGACCAUGACUCGGUCUUCGACACCUCACCUACAACACAUGAGCGAUGCUCCAAAGGUAACAUAG